GAUGAAGAACGCAGCGAAAUGCGAUACUUGGUGUGAAUUGCAGAAUCCCGUGAACCAUCGAGUCUUUGAACGCAAGUUGCGCCCGAAGCCAUUAGGCCGAGGGCACGCCUGCCUGGGCGUCACACGUCGUUGCCCCCCCAUCUACUCCUUCGGGAUUGCGGGGGGCGGAUGAUGGCCUCCCGUGCGCCUCGUCGCGCGGUUGGCAUAAAUGCCAAGUCCUCGGCGACGCACGCCACGACAAUCGGUGGUUGCGAAACCUCGGUUGCCCGUCGUGUGCGGUCGUCGCGCAUCGAGGGCUCGAAAAAAUUGCCGGGCUCCGGCUCGGCUUUCAACGCGACCCCAGGUCAGGCGGGGUUACCCACUGAAUUUAAGCAUAUCAAUAAGCGGAGGA
rnacentral:misc_RNA from 1 species